CACGUAGGGUGCGAGCGUUGUCCGGAAUUAUUGGGCGUAAAGAGCUCGUAGGCGGUGUGUCGCGUCGGCCGUGAAAACCUGCAGCUUAACUGUGGGCGUGCGGUCGAUACGGGGCAUCACUGGAGUUCGGCAGGGGAGACUGGAAUUCCUGGUGUAGCGGUGAAAUGCGCAGAUAUCAGGAGGAACACCGGUGGCGAAGGCGGGUCUCUGGGGCCGAUACUGACGCUGGAGGAGCGAAAGCGUGGGGAGC
rnacentral:rRNA from 1 species